rnacentral:tRNA from 1 species
GCCUUCGUAGCUCAACGGAUAGAGCACCUGACUUCGAAUCAGGGGCGUGGAGGUUCGAAUCCUCUCGAAGGCU